AUUGAACGCUGGCGGCAGGCCUAACACACGCAAGUCGAGCGGAUGAAGAGAGCUUGCUCUCUGAUUCAGCGGCGGACGGGUGAGUAUGCCUAGGAAUCUGCCUGGUAGUGGGGGACAACGUUUCGAAAGGAACGCUAAUACCGCAUACGUCCUACGGGAGAAAGCAGGGGACCUUCGGGCCUUGCGCUAUCAGAUGAGCCUAGGUCGGAUUAGCUAGUUGGUGGGGUAAUGGCUCACCAAGGCGACGAUCCGUAACUGGUCUGAGAGGAUGAUCAGUCACACUGGAACUGAGACACGGUCCAGACUCCUACGGGAGGCAGCAGUGGGGAAUAUUGGACAAUGGGCGAAGGCCUGAUCCAGCCAUGCCGCGUGUGUGAAGAAGGUCUUCGGAUUGUAAAGCACUUUAAGUUGGGAGGAAGGGCAGUAAGUUAAUACCUUGCUGUUUUGACGUUACCGACAGAAUAAGCACCGGCUAACUCUGUGCCAGCAGCCGCAGUAACAC
rnacentral:rRNA from 1 species